rnacentral:lncRNA from 1 species
CACCCAUGUCCCCAUGGAUAUGGGGUCACCAAGCGCCACCCAUGUCCCCAUAGCACCAGGACCUCCAGGUGCCACCAACACUCCAAUGGACCCAAGACCUCCGAGCGUCACCGACGUCCCCAUGGCUCCAACACCUCCAGAUGCCACCGGGCCCCCCGUGACCACCCACGUCCCCUCGUCCCCACGUCCCCUCCCCCCUCUCCACGUCCUUUUGGGUCAGGGGGUGUCACCGCACGGCCUGGGCCCCCCAUUCCGUGUCCUCCUCCCGGGCCGUACCCCAACGCGGGGCCCGGAGACGGCGACGGCGGUGACAGCGGGGCUGUGGCCGUGGGUGUCACGCGGAGGUGGCGGCGGUGCCGGAAGUGACACCGAGGCGGCGGGUGACACCUCGGCCAUGGCGGCGGCGGUGACGGCGGCGCGGCGCGGCGCCCGGAUGGGGAUGGUGCCGUCGGGGGCGGCGGUGGUUGACCCGGUGACGGGUCGCGUUGUUGCUACGGCGUGGGACAGGAGGAGGGGGGGACACCCGCUGGGGCACGCCGUGAUGGAGGUGUUGGCG